rnacentral:rRNA from 1 species
UUAGCCUGUUGGUGGGGUAAUGGCCUACCAAAGCUACGAUGGAUAGCCGGCCUGAGAGGGUGUACGGCCACACUGGGACUGAGAUACGGCCCAGACUCCUACGGGAGGCAGCAGUAGGGAAUAUUGCGCAAUGGACGAAAGUCUGACGCAGCAACGCCGCGUGUGGGAUGAAGCUCCUUGGAGCGUAAACCACUGUCAGGAGGGACGAACGAUUCUGGCCUUAAUAGGGCCUUUGUUUGACGGUACCUCCAGAGGAAGCUCCGGCUAACUCCGUGCCAGCAGCCGCGGUAAUACGGGGGGAGCAAGCGUUGUUCGGAAUCACUGGGCGUAAAGGGUGCGCAGGCGGGAGAUUAGGUCGGAUGUGAAAACCUCGGGCUCAACCCGGGGCCUGCAUUCGAAACCAGUCUUCUUGAGUAUCGGAGAGGGAAGCGGAACUCCAGGUGUAGCGGUGAAAUGCGUAGAUAUCUGGAGGAACACCGGUGGCGAANGCGGCUUCCUGGACGAAUACUGACGCUCANGCACGAANGCUAGGNGAGCAAACAGGAUUAGAUACCCUGGUAGUCCUAGCGGUAAACGAUGGGCACUAGGUAUCGGGGGUAUCGACCCCCCCGGUGCCGCAGCUAACGCAUUAAGUGCCCCGCCUGGGGAGUACGGCCGCAAGGCUGAAACUCAAAGGAAUUGACGGGGGCCCGCACAAGCAGUGGAGUAUGUGGUUUAAUUCGAUGCAACGCGAAGAACCUUACCUGGGUUUGACAUAUACAGGCAAGCCUCAGAGAUGAGGCCCCUCCGCAAGGAGUCUGUAUACAGGUGCUGCAUGGCUGUCGUCAGCUCGUGCCGUGAGGUGUUGGGUUAAGUCCCGCAACGAGCGCAACUCCUAUCUUUAGUUACCAUCAUUAAGUUGGGGACUCUAGAGAUACUGCCCCGGCCAACGGGGAGGAAGGUGGGGAUGACGUCAAGUCCUCAUGGCCUUUAUAUCCAGGG